AUCCAGCUGACGAGUCCCAAAUAGGACGAAACGUGCGUCUUGGAU
rfam:Schistosoma mattheei strain Denwood, Zambia genome assembly, scaffold: SMTD_scaffold0001787